rnacentral:rRNA from 1 species
CUGGACUAGAAUGUGAGGGAAGUUCGUCUAAUAGCGAACGUCUGGGAAACCAGACCCAAAACAAGGUGCUGCAUGGCUGUCGUCAGCUCGUGUCGUGAGAUGUUGGGUUAAGUCCCGCAACGAGCGCAACCCUUAUCAACAGUUGCCAUCAUUAAGUUGGGAACUCUGUUGAGACUGCCGUUGAUAAAACGGAGGAAGGUGGGGAUGAUGUCAAGUCAUCAUGGCCUUUAUGUUCAGGGCUACACACGUGCUACAAUGGAUGGUACAAAACGUCGCAAUCCCGUAAGGGGGAGCUAAUCGCAAAAACCAUUCUCAGUUCGGAUUGAAGUCUGCAACUCGACUUCAUGAAGUUGGAAUCGCUAGUAAUCGCGGAUCAGAACGCCGCGGUGAAUACGUUCCC